rnacentral:rRNA from 1 species
GGGUUGUGAGGUUAAGCGACUAAGCGUACACGGUGGAUGCCCUGGCAGUCAGAGGCGAUGAAGGGCGUGCUAAUCUGCGAUAAGCGCCGGUAAGGUGAUAUGAACCGUUAUAACCGGCGAUACCCGAAUGGGGAAACCCAGUGUGACUCGUCACACUAUCAUUAACUGAAUCCAUAGGUUAAUGAGGCGAACCGGGGGAACUGAAACAUCUAAGUACCCCGAGGAAAAGAAAUCAACCGAGAUUCCCCCAGUAGCGGCGAGCGAACGGGGAGGAGCCCAGAGCCUGAAUCAGCAUGUGUGUUAGUGGAAGCGUCUGGAAAGGCGCGCGAUACAGGGUGACAGCCCCGUACACAAAAGCGCAUGUGCUGUGAGCUCGAUGAGUAGGGCGGGACACGUGGUAUCCUGUCUGAAUAUGGGGGGACCAUCCUCCAAGGCUAAAUACUCCUGACUGACCGAUAGUGAACCAGUACCGUGAGGGAAAGGCGAAAAGAACCCCGGCGAGGGGAGUGAAAAAGAACCUGAAACCGUGUACGUACAAGCAGUGGGAGCCCCACCACCAAAGCAUUCUCUGGUGUUGAAGGCCCUGCAAAGCAGCAUCGCGGUGGCGGAGCGUCGUUUGCGACGCCCAACACACAAAACAAGCGGUGAGUGCUUUGGGGUGGGGUGACUGCGUACCUUUUGUAUAAUGGGUCAGCGACUUAUAUUCUGUAGCAAGGUUAACCGUAUAGGGGAGCCGCAGGGAAACCGAGUCUUAACCGGGCGUUAAGUUGCAGGGUAUAGACCCGAAACCCGGUGAUCUAGCCAUGGGCAGGUUGAAGGUUGGGUAACACUAACUGGAGGACCGAACCGACUAAUGUUGAAAAAUUAGCGGAUGACCUGUGGCUGGGGGUGAAAGGCCAAUCAAACCGGGAGAUAGCUGGUUCUCCCCGAAAGCUAUUUAGGUAGCGCCUCGUGAAUUCAUCUCCGGGGGUAGAGCACUGUUUCGGCUAGGGGGCCAUCCCGGCUUACCAACCCGAUGCAAACUGCGAAUACCGGAGAAUGUUAUCACGGGAGACACACGGCGGGUGCUAACGUCCGUCGUGAAGAGGGAAACAACCCAGACCGCCAGCUAAGGUCCCAAAGUCAUGGUUAAGUGGGAAACGAUGUGGGAAGGCCCAGACAGCCAGGAUGUUGGCUUAGAAGCAGCCAUCAUUUAAAGAAAGCGUAAUAGCUCACUGGUCGAGUCGGCCUGCGCGGAAGAUGUAACGGGGCUAAACCAUGCACCGAAGCUGCGGCAGCGACGCUUAUGCGUUGUUGGGUAGGGGAGCGUUCUGUAAGCCUGCGAAGGUGGCCUGUGAGGGUUGCUGGAGGUAUCAGAAGUGCGAAUGCUGACAUAAGUAACGAUAAAGCGGGUGAAAAGCCCGCUCGCCGGAAGACCAAGGGUUCCUGUCCAACGUUAAUCGGGGCAGGGUGAGUCGACCCCUAAGGCGAGGCCGAAAGGCGUAGUCGAUGGGAAACGGGUUAAUAUUCCCGUACUUGGUGUUACUGCGAAGGGGGGACGGAGAAGGCUAUGUUGGCCGGGCGACGGUUGUCCCGGUUUAAGCGUGUAGGUGUGUGUUCCAGGUAAAUCCGGUUCACUUUAACACUGAGGCGUGACGACGAGGCACUACGGUGCUGAAGCAACAAAUGCCCUGCUUCCAGGAAAAGCCUCUAAGCAUCAGGUAACAUCAAAUCGUACCCCAAACCGACACAGGUGGUCAGGUAGAGAAUACCAAGGCGCUUGAGAGAACUCGGGUGAAGGAACUAGGCAAAAUGGUGCCGUAACUUCGGGAGAAGGCACGCUGACACGUAGGUGAAGUGAUUUACUCACGGAGCUGAAGUCAGUCGAAGAUACCAGCUGGCUGCAACUGUUUAUUAAAAACACAGCACUGUGCAAACACGAAAGUGGACGUAUACGGUGUGACGCCUGCCCGGUGCCGGAAGGUUAAUUGAUGGGGUCAGCGCAAGCGAAGCUCCUGAUCGAAGCCCCGGUAAACGGCGGCCGUAACUAUAACGGUCCUAAGGUAGCGAAAUUCCUUGUCGGGUAAGUUCCGACCUGCACGAAUGGCGUAAUGAUGGCCAGGCUGUCUCCACCCGAGACUCAGUGAAAUUGAACUCGCUGUGAAGAUGCAGUGUACCCGCGGCAAGACGGAAAGACCCCGUGAACCUUUACUAUAGCUUGACACUGAACAUUGAGCCUUGAUGUGUAGGAUAGGUGGGAGGCUUUGAAGCGUGGACGCCAGUCUGCGUGGAGCCGACCUUGAAAUACCACCCUUUAAUGUUUGAUGUUCUAACGUGGACCCGUGAUCCGGGUUGCGGACAGUGUCUGGUGGGUAGUUUGACUGGGGCGGUCUCCUCCUAAAGAGUAACGGAGGAGCACGAAGGUUGGCUAAUCCUGGUCGGACAUCAGGAGGUUAGUGCAAUGGCAUAAGCCAGCUUGACUGCGAGCGUGACGGCGCGAGCAGGUGCGAAAGCAGGUCAUAGUGAUCCGGUGGUUCUGAAUGGAAGGGCCAUCGCUCAACGGAUAAAAGGUACUCCGGGGAUAACAGGCUGAUACCGCCCAAGAGUUCAUAUCGACGGCGGUGUUUGGCACCUCGAUGUCGGCUCAUCACAUCCUGGGGCUGAAGUAGGUCCCAAGGGUAUGGCUGUUCGCCAUUUAAAGUGGUACGCGAGCUGGGUUUAGAACGUCGUGAGACAGUUCGGUCCCUAUCUGCCGUGGGCGCUGGAGAACUGAGGGGGGCUGCUCCUAGUACGAGAGGACCGGAGUGGACGCAUCACUGGUGUUCGGGUUGUCAUGCCAAUGGCACUGCCCGGUAGCUAAAUGCGGAAGAGAUAAGUGCUGAAAGCAUCUAAGCACGAAACUUGCCCCGAGAUGAGUUCUCCCUGAGACUUAGAGUCUCCUGAAGGAACGUUGAAGACGACGACGUUGAUAGGCCGGGUGUGUAAGCGCAGCGAUGCGUUGAGCUAACCGGUACUAAUGAACCGUGAGGCUUAACCUUACAACGCCGAAG